GCUAGCGUUGCUCGGAAUCACUGGGCGUAAAGGGCGCGUAGGCGGCCGAUCAAGUCAGGGGUGAAAGCCUGUGGCUCAACCACAGAAUUGCCUUUGAUACUGUUCGGCUCGAGACCGGAAGAGGUAAGUGGAACUGCGAGUGUAGAGGUGAAAUUCGUAGAUAUUCGCAAGAACACCAGUGGCGAAGGCGGCUUACUGGUCCGGUUCUGACGCUGAGGCGCGAAAGCGUGGGGAGCAAACAGG
rnacentral:rRNA from 1 species